CGAGGGUCUGCAGACAACGUCACACAAAGUUAGCUUGUGCAAACAGCGACGGCUCGUGAGGCACGCUAUUCAUUCUCUAACGAAAUCACAGCUGAGUUGGAAGACUUAAGAUUCUUCUGAAAGACUUAUAUUUAUAACUUCGAAGGUCGAAAGGUUAUGAAGAAACUCAUCGAAUAGCAAAUUCUACGUCAGUUUUUCCAUUCCAAUAUUGUUCGAAAGUGCUUCCAAGUCGGUCGUGAGAAAACCCCUGGAAGUUACCAGGACGUCUACAUCUUGAAGAGACUCUUCAGUUUAUAAGAUCUGUCUGACGGUGGCGUCAUCAUGUGAGAUAAGCACAGUCCCUACUUGGCUGUGGUCUAUUUUAAAUGGCUAGGUAAUCCAUGGACCAUUCACAAAACGGGUCAAAAAGACUGACAAGCGACGUAGGGCAAGCACAACCGCAGGGAGAAAUGGACGCAUUACUACUGGGACGAACAAAGGCUCUUUAUAUUGGUAUGAUACUUGAGAAAUACUGGUCAGGUUUACUACUCCUCUCGUGUUUGUAAAUAGUAAGUCUCCAAAUUUGUA
rnacentral:lncRNA from 1 species